UCUUAAGCCAUGCGAGUCGAAUGUAGCAAUACAUGGCGAACUGCUCAGUAACACGUGGACAACCUGCCCUUAGGUUGGGUAUAAACCCGGGAAACUGGGUAUAAUACCCGAUAGGUCUCGAUUGCUGGAAUGCAUCGAGAUUUAAAGCUCCGGCGCCUAAGGAUGGGUCUGCGGCCUAUCAGGUAGUAGUGGGUGUAGCGUACCUACUAGCCUACGACGGGUACGGGUUGUGAGAGCAAGAGCCCGGAGAUGGAUUCUGAGACACGAAUCCAGGCCCUACGGGGUGCAGCAGGCGCGAAAACUUUACAAUGCUGGCAACAGCGAUAAGGGAACCUCGAGUGCCAGGUUACAAAUCUGGCUGUCGAGAUGCCUAAAAAGCAUUUCAUAGCAAGGGCCGGGCAAGACCGGUGCCAGCCGCCGCGGUAACACCGGCGGCUCGAGUGGUAACCGUUAUUAUUGGGUCUAAAGGGUCUGUAGCCGGCCGGAUAAGUCUCUUGAGAAAUCUGGCAGCUUAACUGUCAGGCUUUCAGGAGAUACUGUCUGGCUCGAGGCCGGGAGAGGUGAGAGGUACUUCAGGGGUAGGGGUGAAAUCUUGUAAUCCUUGAAGGACCACCAGUGGCGAAGGCGUCUCACCAGAACGGACCUGACGGCAAGGGACGAAAGCUAGGGGCACGAACCGGAUUAGAUACCCGGGUAGUCCUAGCCGUAAACGAUACUCGCUAGGUGUCGGCCACGGUGCGACCGUUGUCGGUGCCGUAGGGAAGCCGUGAAGCGAGCCACCUGGGAAGUACGGCCGCAAGGCUGAAACUUAAAGGAAUUGGCGGGGGAGCACCACAACGGGUGGAGCUUGCGGUUUAAUUGGAUUCAACGCCGGAAAUCUUACCGGGACCGACAGCAAUAUGAAGGCCAGGCUGAAGACUUUGCCGGAUUAGCUGAGAGGUGGUGCAUGGCCGUCGUCAGUCGUACUGA
rnacentral:rRNA from 1 species